UACAGAGGUCUCAAGCGUUGUUCGGAUUCAUUGGGCGUAAAGGGUGCGUAGGCGGCUCGGUAAGUCGGGUGUGAAAUCUCGGGGCUUAACUCCGAAACUGCAUUCGAUACUGCCGUGCUUGAGGACUGGAGAGGAGACUGGAAUUUACGGUGUAGCGGUGAAAUGCGUAGAUAUCGAGAGGAACACCUGCGGCGAAGGCGGGUAGCUGGGCCGACACUGACGCUGAGGCGCGAAAGCUAGGGGAGCGAACGGG
rnacentral:rRNA from 1 species